AUGUCUAGUAUAGCAAUCUAUACAGUGAAACUGCGAAUGGCUCAUUAAAUCAGUUAUCGUUUAUUUGAUAGUACCUUACUACUUGGAUAACCGUGGUAAUUCUAGAGCUAAUACAUGCUAAAAACCCCGACUUCGGAAGGGGUGUAUUUAUUAGAUAAAAAACCAAUGCUCUUCGGGGCUCCUUGGUGAUUCAUAAUAACUUAACGAAUCGCAUGGCCUUGUGCCGGCGAUGGUUCAUUCAAAUUUCUGCCCUAUCAACUUUCGAUGGUAGGAUAGUGGCCUACCAUGGUUUCAACGGGUAACGGGGAAUUAGGGUUCUAUUCCGGAGAGGGAGCCUGAGAAACGGCUACCACAUCCAAGGAAGGCAGCAGGCGCGCAAAUUACCCAAUCCCGACACGGGGAGGUAGUGACAAUAAAUACUGAUACAGGGCUCUUUUGAGUCUUGUAAUUGGAAUGAGUACAAUUUAAAUCCCUUAACGAGGAACAAUUGGAGGGCAAGUCUGGUGCCAGCAGCCGCGGUAAUUCCAGCUCCAAUAGCGUAUAUUAAAGUUGUUGCAGUUAAAAAGCUCGUAGUUGAACCUUGGGCCUGGCUGGCCGGUCCGCCUCACCGCGUGCACUGGUCCGGCCGGGCCUUUCCUCCUGGGGAGCCGCAUGCCCUUCACUGGGUGUGUCGGGGAACCAGGACUUUUACUUUGAAAAAAUUAGAGUGUUCAAAGCAGGCCUAUGCUCGAAUACAUUAGCAUGGAAUAAUAGAAUAGGACGUGUGGUUCUAUUUUGUUGGUUUCUAGGACCGCCGUAAUGAUUAAUAGGGAUAGUCGGGGGCAUCAGUAUUCAAUUGUCAGAGGUGAAAUUCUUGGAUUUAUUGAAGACUAACUACUGCGAAAGCAUUUGCCAAGGAUGUUUUCAUUAAUCAGUGAACGAAAGUUAUGGGAUCGAAGACGAUCAGAUACCGUCGUAGUCUUAACCAUAAACUAUGCCGACU
rnacentral:rRNA from 1 species